UUUGCUCAUGCAUGAUUCUUGUUUACUUAACAGACUGAUAUCAGCAGGUGUAAUAACUAUAUCACCUAGUGUUAUAGCAAUGAUAUCACCAGGUGUAAUAACUAUAUCACUGAGUGUUAUAGCAAUGAUAUCACCAGUCAUAACACAGCAUAUAACACCAAGUAUUAUAGCCAUGAUAAAACAGAUGUAAUAUC